UCGAACGCUUCUUUCCUCCCGAGUGCUUGCACUCAAUUGGAAAGAGGAGUGGCGGACGGGUGAGUAACACGUGGGUAACCUACCCAUCAGAGGGGGAUAACACUUGGAAACAGGUGCUAAUACCGCAUAACAGUUUAUGCCGCAUGGCAUAAGAGUGAAAGGCGCUUUCGGGUGUCGCUGAUGGAUGGACCCGCGGUGCAUUAGCUAGUAGGUGGGGUAACGGCUCACCUAGGCGACGAUCCCUAGCUGGUCUGAGAGGAUGACCAGCCACACUGGAACUGAGACACGGUCCAGACUCCUACGGGAGGCAGCAGUGGGGAAUAUUGCACAAUGGGCGCAAGCCUGAUGCAGCCAUGCCGCGUGUAUGAAGAAGGCCUUCGGGUUGUAAAGUACUUUCAGCGGGGAGGAAGGGAGUAAAGUUAAUACCUUUGCUCAUUGACGUUACCCGCAGAAGAAGCACCGGCUAACUCCGUGCCAGCAGCCGCGGUAAUACGGAGGGUGCAAGCGUUAAUCGCAAUUACUGGGCGUAAAGCGCACGCAGGCGGUUUGUUAAGUCAGAUGUGAAAUCCCCGGGCUCAACCUGGGAACUGCAUCUGAUACUGGCAAGCUUGAGUCUCGUAGAGGGGGGUAGAAUUCCAGGUGUAGCGGUGAAAUGCGUAGAGAUCUGGAGGAAUACCGGUGGCGAAGGCGGCCCCCUGGA
rnacentral:rRNA from 1 species